UGCAUAUCAAAAGCGGAGGAAAAGAAACCAACAGGGAUUGCCCUAGUAACGGCGAGUGAAGCGGCAACAGCUCAAAUUUGAAAUCUGGCUCUUUUAGAGUCCGAGUUGUAAUUUGCAGAGGGCGCUUUGGCUUUGGCAGCGGUCCAAGUUCCUUGGAACAGGACGUCACAGAGGGUGAGAAUCCCGUACGUGGUCGCUGGCUAUUGCCGUGUAAAGCCCCUUCGACGAGUCGAGUUGUUUGGGAAUGCAGCUCUAAAUGGGAGGUAAAUUUCUUCUAAAGCUAAAUAUUGGCCAGAGACCGAUAGCGCACAAGUAGAGUGAUCGAAAGAUGAAAAGCACUUUGGAAAGAGAGUCAAACAGCACGUGAAAUUGUUGAAAGGGAAGCGCUUGCAGCCAGACUUGCUUGCAGUUGCUCAUCCGGGCUUUUGCCCGGUGCACUCUUCUGCAGGCAGGCCAGCAUCAGUUUGGGCGGUGGGAUAAAGGUCUCUGUCACGUACCUUCCUUCGGGUUGGCCAUAUAGGGGAGACGUCAUACCACCAGCCUGGACUGAGGUCCGCGCAUCUGCUAGGAUGCUGGCGUAAUGGCUGUAAGCGGCCCGUCUUGAA
rnacentral:rRNA from 1 species